GCGUGAGUGAAGAAGGCCUUAGGGUUGUAAAGCUCUUUCACCCGCGAAGAUGAUGACGGUAGCGGGAGAAGAAGCCCCGGCUAACUCCGUGCCAGCAGCCGCGGUAAUACGGAGGGGGCGAGCGUUGUUCGGAAUUACUGGGCGUAAAGGGCGCGUAGGCGGACCGUUAAGUCAGGGGUGAAAGGCCUGGGCUCAACCCGGGAACUGCCUUUGAAACUAGUGGUCUAGAGUCCGGGAGAGGAUGGCGGAAUUCCCAGUGUAGAGGUGAAAUUCGU
rnacentral:rRNA from 1 species